GUGGUUGAGGGAAGCAAGUGGAAUCA
rnacentral:piRNA from 1 species